AAUUUAAUAGUUUAUUAAAAAUAUCAGAUUGCAAGUCUGAAGAAAUUCAUUUAUUUUAAAUUU
rnacentral:tRNA from 1 species